rnacentral:rRNA from 1 species
UACGGAGGGAGCUAGCGUUGUUCGGAAUUACUGGGCGUAAAGGGUAGGUAGGUGGUCUCGUUUGUCUGGGGUGAAAGCCUUGAGCUUAACUCAAGAAGUGCCCUAGAAACGGCGAGACUCGAGUCCUGGAGAGGGUCGUGGAAUUCCCGGUGUAGCGGUGAAAUGCGUAGAGAUCGGGAGGAACACCAGAGGCGAAGGCGGCGACCUGGACAGGUACUGACACUCAACUACGAAAGCGUGGGGAGCAAACAGG